GGUGUGUGUGUGUGUGUGGAGGGGGGGACUUAGCUUUCUUUCUGGCUGUUUGCUGAAAUUCUUGGCUGUUAAAGUUUGGAGAGGGAGGGACGUGGGUAGUUUGCGCUUGGUCGCAAUGGGGAGAGUGUGCGAGAGUACGCUUGGGGACGGGUUCCUAGGGGUCGCUUCAGGACUGUCGUGACUGCCCUGGGGACAUGAGUGAAGAGAAGCAGCGCUCAGGUUGUUCCAGGACCCUUGGAGACCCAAGGAAAGCCGUGCUGACCGAAAGCAAGACAAAUGACUCGCAGAGAAAAACGAUGGUGGAACCCAGGGCAAUUAGAGGUAAAACAAACACCC
rnacentral:lncRNA from 1 species